GAACCUGUAACAACUACAUACGACACAAACUUGCUUGACUGAUUGUGAAAGCUAAUCAAACUAAUAAUGGAUUCUUGAUGAAUACAAAUGGGGUGCACGGAAAGAGCCUCCCCGUGAUGUACAAAUGUUUUUAGUACGCCUUGCGCACCCUGGGCAACAAUCAGCAAGUACCUUACGUCGAUUGGCAAAUGCUUUCAUCACGAUGAUGGCAAACAUAUACCAUGUAAAGGUCGAUGUUUAGAAGAUAUAGAUAAUUGUGUAAUUACUACAUUUUUUUUGGACACUGCCAGUUU